rnacentral:tRNA from 1 species
GUCAGAGUAGGUGUUGAUCUACCUUUUUUUUGACACGGUAGGGGUCACUGGUUCAAUCCCAGUAUCGUCCACCA